rnacentral:rRNA from 1 species
GGCUAUGCACAGUGCCUCAAAGGCACCAGAUCUCAUCUGAUCUAGGAAGCUAAACAGGGUCAGCCCUGGUUAGUACUUGGAGGGGAGACCACCAAUAAAUAUCAUGUGCUGCAGGCU